CCCAGGGCAUCUUGAACUCAGAACAGGAGCUGGCCGGUUCCCUGUUCUCAACCACUUCCUCCUGCAUUUCUCUCGGGUGGAAACAUCAUUUCCACAAGAAACUCCCUGGUGGCAGGUCCCCUCCCUCCCCCGUCUCCUAACUCUUAAAUCCAGCUCUUCUUCGUCCUGUUAACCAUCCCCGUGCUGAGGUGGAGCUGUGGGGAGACUCCUGGCGUAAGCCUGCCUGCGUCCACGUCCCAGCUUCCUUUCUUACACUCCCUGUCACCAGGGCUCUGCAGAAGAGGCGUGGGACGCACUUGGCGCCAGGUACCAGCAGUCCCUGCCUGCAGCACUGGGAGAGCUGUGACCCACAUCCCAAAUGCCCGUCUAGUUCCCUCCAAGCCCGCCCAGCCCAACCUGCCACUGUGGUCACCAAAAUGGCAUCCUGCCCUGUUGCUCUCCCCAGCGGAGAACCUUCCAGUGGUUCCCGACAGGUGGCAGGAGGAAGGCCACCAGUCCCUCGUCUGAACGUGUAGCUCAUGUGAUAUCCACCGCCCUCCCCAUGCCUCUGCCCUCUCCCUGGAAGGAUGAUCCCAACACCUACCCUUGGAAUACCCAAUUUGGGGGUAACCCUUCAUUUUGAUACAAUGUUAGACUUACAGAAAACUUUGCAAAAUAGUGCAAAUUCUCCUUCACCCAGAUCACUGUGGGCAUUUUGCGUUGGUUGGCAUGCAUAUGCAUGCACACACACACGCACCAUGUAUAAAUAUUUUCUUCUGAGCUAUUUGGUAGUGAAUUUCAGACAUAUUUUACCCCUAAAUACAUCAGCAUGUCUUCAAAGAACACGGAUGCUCUUACAUAAUCAAAUUAUAGUUAUCAAAAUUAGAAAACAUUCAUGCGAUAUUUUCUAAUCUACAGGCUAGGAUCAGAUGUCACUAAGUGUCCCAGGAAUGCCCCUUACAGCUCUUUUAGUUCUGGUUCAGGAUCACACGUUACAUGAGUUGUCACAUCACCCUAUUUCCUCUUACGUGACACUGCAUUUUUAAAGAGUGGAAGCUUGUUAUUUUGCAGAACAUCCCCCAGUUCGAGUUUGCGUGGUGUAUUUUCAGAAUAAUCCGCAGUCUUCCUGCUCGGCGGGAACAGCCCAGAAACAAUGCUGGGCCCUUCUCAGCAAAUCGAAGGGCCACGUGCUGCUGCUGGGUUGUCCCACUCUGGGUGACGCAGGAGGAAGGAGACGCACUGAGGCCGCACCCUCGGCCUUGGAGGCUUCUGGAAGAGCCCUGGACGCGGUUCCGGAAGCCUGGCCAUCUCUUCUGUCCUGUUUUGCUCUUUGUGAGACAUUGGCCAGCGCUGGCCUGCUCAACCGGAUCCUCAUGUGGGUCCCUCUGAAGUCACCGCUGGGAAUGGCUGUCGCUAGGGCUUCGUGGCUGAUGAACAGCAGCUGUUGUGCGCUGUUCCUAGGUGGUGAUUUCCCGGGAAACCAGGCCUCUGCUGCCAGCCAGGAGGACGGGCGACGUGGGUCCCCGUCAGCCAAGCCUGGGUGACCUGCGCAGCCCAAGCUGUAGGCUCAUUCAGGGCAGCUCGCUCUCACCUGGUGACACAGAUGGCGGCUGGGUCAGGAGCCAGAGGGCCGUGUGUGAAGUGAGCGAGAGCAGCCCUGUGACAGGACAGUCGCAGCACACUCCUUAGCAGCUUCCAGUUCCCUGUGAGGGACAUGCUCAAAGAUGAGUGUCCUCAGGAGAUGGCGGGGAGCAGUCUCAAGGUGGAGCUGUCCCCCGCCAGCAGGGCCUCCGUGGAGGUGGCACUGGGCCCCAGCUGGGUAGUGCUUUGCGCGGACGUGAGCCAUCAUGCCUCAGGACCAGAGCUUCCUCCCAGCCGGCCUCCUCCUGGACGCCCGUCUCUGUGUUGGUGCCCUAAUGGCUCCUGGGGUCUUCUGUGUGCUGACGUGAAUUGAGCUGAAUUGCCUUGAAUCAAAUUGGACUAAAAUAAAUUGAAUUGAAAGGCCUA